UGUAGAGUUUGAUCAUGGCUCAGGACGAACGCUGGCGACGUACUUAACACAUGCAAGUCGAACGAUGAAGCCUUUCGGGGUGGAUUAGUGGCGAACGGGUGAGUAACACGUGGGCAAUCUGCCCUUCACUCUGGGACAAGCCCUGGAAACGGGGUCUAAUACCGGAUAACACUCUGUCCCGCAUGGGACGGGGUUAAAAGCUCCGGCGGUGAAGGAUGAGCCCGCGGCCUAUCAGCUUGUUGGUGGGGUAAUGGCCUACCAAGGCGACGACGGGUAGCCGGCCUGAGAGGGCGACCGGCCACACUGGGACUGAGACACGGCCCAGACUCCUACGGGAGGCAGCAGUGGGGAAUAUUGCACAAUGGGCGAAAGCCUGAUGCAGCGACGCCGCGUGAGGAAUGGCGGCCUUCGGGUUGUAAACCUCUUCAGCAGGGAAGAAGCGAAAGUGACGGUACCUGCAGAGAGCCUCGAACUGCC
rnacentral:rRNA from 1 species